rnacentral:rRNA from 1 species
UCUAGUUUAAUAAUUUUACGGUGAAACUGCGAAUGGCUCAUUAAAUCAGUUAUAGUUUAUUUGAUGCUCCUUCACUACAUGGAUAACUGUGGUAAUUCUAGAGCUAAUACAUGCGUACUAACCCCCGACUUUUGGGAAGGGGUGUAUUUAUUAGGUAAAAACCAACCGUCUUCGGGCGAACUUGGUGAGUCAUAAUAACUUUUCGAAUCGCAUGGCCUUGCGCCGGCGAUGUUUCAUUCAAAUAUCUGCCCUAUCAACUUUGAUGGUAGGAUAGAGGCCUACCAUGGUUGCAACGGGUAACGGGGAAUAAGGGUUCGAUUCCGGAGAGGGAGCCUGAGAAACGGCUACCACAUCCAAGGAAGGCAGCAGGCGCGCAAAUUACCCAAUCCCGACACGGGGAGGUAGUGACAAUAAAUAACAAUAUAGGGCCUUUUAGGUCUUAUAAUUGGAAUGAGUACAAUUUAAAUCCCUUAACGAGGAACAAUUGGAGGGCAAGUCUGGUGCCAGCAGCCGCGGUAAAUGUAAUUGCCGCUAAGAGUGAUGAUCACUAGUCGUUUAAAAACGGCAACACAUCUGGUUCGAGGGAGGCGUUUCGGCUAAUCUCGAGUGUAGUCUUUCAUAGACACAUGUAACGCACGCAAAGAUGUGGGCUCAUAUAUGCGUAUUAUGAGCUUAAGGUACGUGCUGCUCCCUUGCGAAAGCGAGAUCAGUUAAGACGAUUGCUAUCAAUGUAAUUGGAUUGACUGUAAUGCUAUGUUUGAUACAAAUGACUAAUGCGAUAAUGAUUAAUAGUACAAACGUAGUGAGGCUUGUGUUACAAUUGAGACGAAUGAUUCGUUUCUUAGUCUUAGUCGUUUCAGUGUGUAACACAAAGUGAAUUCCAGCUCCAAUAGCGUAUAUUAAAGUUGUUGCAGUUAAAAAGCUCGUAGUUGAAUUUCAAGUCCUGAUCGUUCGGUCCGCUUCACGGCGUUCACUGUUCCGAUUGGACUUUCCUUUCUUGGUAAGCUUCGUAUGCCGUUUACUCGGUGUGCGAAUGUCUGGCCAGGACUUUUACUUUGAAAAAAUUAGAGUGUUCAAAGCAGGCCUAUGCCCGAAUAUAUUAGCAUGGAAUAAUAAAAUAGGACGUUGCGUUUCUAUUUUGUUGGUUUCUAGAAUCGCCGUAAUGAUUAAUAGGGAUAGUCGGGGGCAUUCGUAUUCACAUGCUAGAGGUGAAAUUCUUGGAUUUUGUGAAGACGAACUACUGCGAAAGCAUCUGCCAAGGAUGUUUUCAUUAAUCAAGAACGAAGGUUAGGGGAUCGAAAACGAUUAGAUACCGUUGUAGUCUUAACAGUAAACUAUGCCGACUAGGGAUCAGAUGAUGUUAUUUUUUUGACUCAUUUGGCACCUUGCGAGAAAUCAAAGUUUUUGGGUCUGGGGGGAA